rnacentral:tRNA from 1 species
UCCUUCGUGGUGUAGUGGUCAGCACGCUCGGCGCGUAUUCGAGAGGUCCGUGGUUCGAGUCCCGGCGAGGACA